AGGGGGAAAAUUGUGUGUGUGUCUGAGGUGUAAAGAGUACGUGAAAACCAUACUUGAGUAAAAGUACAGAUACCAUAUGGUGAAAAUUACUCCACUACAAGUUUCAAG